rnacentral:tRNA from 1 species
UGCCUCUUAGUGUAAUGGUUAGCACACAAGUUUUUGGAGCUUAGAGUGGGGGUUCAAAUCCCUUAGAGGCAA